AUUGAACGCUGGCGGCAGGCUUAACACAUGCAAGUCGAGCGGGGUGAUGGUGCUUGCACUAUCACUUAGCGGCGGACGGGUGAGUAAUGCUUAGGAAUCUGCCUAUUAGUGGGGGACAACAUCUCGAAAGGGAUGCUAAUACCGCAUACGUCCUACGGGAGAAAGCAGGGGAUCACUUGUGACCUUGCGCUAAUAGAUGAGCCUAAGUCGGAUUAGCUAGUUGGUGGGGUAAAGGCCUACCAAGGCGACGAUCUGUAGCGGGUCUGAGAGGAUGGUCCGCAAGACUGGGACUAGGACACGGCCGAGACGCCUACGGGAGGCAGCAGUGGGGAAUAUUGGACAAUGGGGGGAACCCCGAUCCAGCCAUGCGGCGUGUGUGAAGAAGGCCUUAUGGUUGUAAAGCACUUUAAGCGAGGAGGAGGCUCUUUUGGUUAAUACCCAAGAUGAGUGGACGUUACUCGCAGAAUAAGCACCGGCUAACUCUGUGCCAGCCGCCGCGGUAA
rnacentral:rRNA from 1 species